GUCCGACCUGCCCAGUGAACUUAAUUUUAACGGCCGCGGUAUCCUAACCGUGCAAAGGUAGCAUAAUCACUUGUCUCCUAAAUAGGGACUUGUAUGAACGGUUAAAUGAGGGCUUAACUGUCUCCUGCAGCCAAUCAAUGAAAUUGACCUUACAGUACAAAUGCUGUAAUAUAUAUACAAGACGAAAAGACCCUGUGGAGCUUUAAAUCACUGCAUUAUCUAAUAAUUUUAGUAUAAUAUAGAUUUUUAAGUUGGGGCGACUAGAAAGUAAAAACAAACCUUUCUGCAAACGACUAAAACUCGUCAUAUAAGGCCAACAAGCCAACCAAAACAACCAAAACAUAUGACCCAGUCAAACUGAUCAUCGAACCAAGUUACCCCAGGGAUAACAGCGCCAUCCCCUUAAAGAGUCCACAUCGCAAAGGGGGUUUACGACCUCGAUGUUGGAUCAGGACACCCAAGUGGUGCAGCAACUACUAAAGGUUCGUUUGUUCAACGAG
rnacentral:rRNA from 1 species